rnacentral:rRNA from 1 species
GACGAACGCUGGCGGCGUGCUUAACACAUGCAAGUCGAACGAGACGAUUGAAAGCUUGCUUUUGAAAGUCGAGUGGCAAACGGGUGAGUAACGCGUAGACAACCUGCCUUUGAGAUGGGGACAACAGUUCGAAAGGACUGCUAAUACCGAAUGUUGUAUAUUUUCCACAUGGAAGAUAUAUUAAAGAUGGCCUCUAUUUAUAAGCUAUCGCUCAAAGAUGGGUCUGCGUCUGAUUAGCUAGUUGGUGGGGUAACGGCCUACCAAGGCGACGAUCAGUAGCCGGUCGGAGAGGAUGAACGGCCAAAUUGGGACUGAGACAGGGCCCAGACUCCUACGGGGGGCAGCAGUGGGGAAUCUUCCACAAUGGACGAAAGUCUGAUGGAGCAACGCCGCGGGAGUGAAGAAGUGUUUCGGCUCGUAAAGCUCUGUUGUCGGGGACGAAUGUGCAGUAUUUGAAUAAAGUCCUGUAAUGACGGUACCUGACGAGGAAGCCACGGCUAACUACGUGCCAGCAGCCGCCGUAA